UCCUGUGCUAUUAAUGGUUCCAUGUGUUUGUGCCCCUGAUUGCAGACAACGGGUACAGAGAAUGCCUCAUGAAUGGGAGCUGGGCAGCCCGCGUCAAUUACUCCCAGUGCCAGGAGAUCCUCAGUGAGGAGAGGAAGAGCAAGCUGCAUUACCACAUUGCCGUCAUCAUCAACUACCUGGGACACUGCGUCUCGCUAGGGGCCUUGCUCCUGGCCUUUGUCCUCUUCAUGCGCCUGAGGAGCAUCAGGUGCCUUCGAAACAUCAUCCACUGGAACCUGAUCACAGCCUUCAUCUUGCGCAACGCCACCUGGUUUGUGGUGCAGCUCACCAUGAACCCGGCCGUGCAUGAGAGCAACGUGGCCUGGUGCCGUCUGGUCACAGCCGCCUACAAUUACUUCCACGUCACCAACUUCUUCUGGAUGUUCGGCGAGGGCUGCUACCUCCACACGGCCAUUGUGCUCACCUACUCCACUGACAAGCUGCGCAAGUGGAUGUUCAUCUGCAUCGGCUGGUGUAUCCCCUUCCCGAUCAUUGUUGCCUGGGCCCUUGGAAAGCUGUAUUAUGACAAUGAGAAAUGCUGGUUCGGGAAGCGAGCAGGUGUCUAUACCGAUUACAUCUACCAAGGCCCCAUGAUCCUGGUGCUCCUGAUCAACUUCAUCUUUUUGUUCAACAUUGUCAGAAUCCUCAUGACCAAGCUCCGCGCCUCGACCACCUCGGAGACCAUCCAGUACAGAAAAGCCGUGAAGGCCACGCUGGUCCUGCUGCCGUUGCUGGGCAUCACCUACAUGCUGUUCUUCGUGAACCCAGGGGAAGACGAGAUCUCCCGGGUCGUCUUCAUCUACUUCAACUCCUUCCUGGAAUCUUUCCAGGGCUUCUUUGUCUCUGUCUUCUACUGCUUCCUGAACAGCGAGGUCCGUUCCGCUGUACGGAAAAGAUGGCACCGGUGGCAGGACAAGCACUCCAUCCGCACCCGCGUGGCCAGAGCCAUGUCCAUCCCCACGUCGCCGACGCGCGUCAGCUUCCACAGCAUCAAGCAGUCCACGGCGGUCUGAGACGGGACACCCUUGCGGAGGAGGGGAGCCACGUUUGCGGCAGAUCCUCGGCUGCUUGCACGGCAGACUGAGCAUGGCGUGGUGGCUGUGUACUUCCUGGAUGGACUCUCUGCCCCAGGAGCCCAGAGAAAGGCAGCUGAGCCCUGGCGGGGACUGGCCAACACCAAAGAAACCCCUCGCCAAUGUCUGCCCGGGGAGACCAGCUCUCAGAGCAGCUGUUUUUACUCACUGAACCCUUGUGAAGCCAGCACCCCCCGUGCCCAGGACUGUGGGGCUGGGCAGUGUCUGGUGGCCCGGGAAAGGCCUACAGCAGCUGAGGGUGUCACAUUCUCUGGGGAUAGGCUGGGGGGCCAAGCAAUGCCCCAACUGAGGCCAGGUUUGCUGGAAAUGCGGCUCCAACAUCUGCCCAAUCCUGACCCAGCAGCAGGUCUGACGGGAGCGCUUGCCAGGCCAGUGAGAGUCCGGCUAGUGCUGGUCACAUGGACGGAGGCGACCAGCGUGUGUCCUGGCCUCUCUCCACAUUCCCAUGCAUGUCCCGGCUCCUCUGGGAUAUCAGUUCCUCUCUCUGGCUCAGGCCGGCGUGGCACGAAAGGCCCGUGUGCGGCACUGUCAUGACCCAGGCAGCAGCCAUGGCCACAGAGGGUGGGCAGCUCCCCGUACUGCUGGGCAAGCCUGGUGCAAGCUGCUUCCAGGAUCCCACUGCCAGCACUGCUGCCCUACAAGCUGCAGCGAGGGGACUGCCUGAUCUGUGUUCAGCCAGAAUACAGACCCGAGCCUCGGGUCAUGACCGGCGUUUGCCUGGCACCGUGUCUGUGCUUUGUCUCCAUUUUAUCACAGCCCUGAGACUGUUGGUUCCCCACGCCCACCCUGCCCCAGCCCACCCGGUGGGACCCCUGGCAAGGCCUCAGGGCAGCCCCUGCAAUGCAGCCUGCCGCAGCGCUGGGGUUUCCAACCUGCCCCCCAAGCCCAGUGUGUGGUGCCUGGCAAAGGCCCGUGGCAGCCACGCCCACAUGGGGACUUCGCUCCAGGGCUUCCAGGUAUCUGCGUGGUUUGAGCAUUUGUCAGAGGAGUCAGAGCCUGGGUCUUCACUGGAGGGUUUGCCCCUGUUCCUGGCACUCACUCCCCUGGCAUCCCGGCUCGAGGGCGGGUGCGCGAGCUGUGGACAAGCUGUGCUAAUGUCCUGCACCCCGCCAGGCCAGCCAACACCAGCGGAAAGCUCCCCCGGGGCUGACCAGGAUGGAGGAUCGCUGGAGCCUGGAGUCAAGUUCACUCUGCAGGAAAGAUGAGCCCCAGGAAAGCAUCGCAGACGGCCAUGGCAUCACUACAAGCCCCUGGAGCUGGAAAGAGCCACAGAGAGACACACACACACAGCCACAGCCCACAGGGAGACCCCCCCCCCCACCAGCGGAGGGAGGAGUCGCUGCCACUCACCAGCUGAGGCAUGAGAGGGCUGGAGGGGUGAGAUUGUUCCUCCCCGAGCAGAGACUUGUCAGGAGAGGGCCAUGGGGAGGGCGCGAAGAGGAGGAAGGCAGCUACCAUUGAAACAGCAGGAGAAAUUGAAUUGGGAUGUGCUGGCGUCUGCCCAUGGCAGGACGGGGACUUGGAGGACACCUGGGUUCACACCCUUCUCCGUGGGACGAGAGGGUCAAAAGCACCACAGAAUUCUUUAAUUACUCCCAAAUAUAUCCAUGUGCACACACACACAUACACACACACUCACACACACUCAAAUAGAUAAACACAUUUCAUUCACAUGCACUUUCACACACAAACACAAAGCUCCUUGGUUUUAUGCCUCAUCCCACAAUGCAGCCGUGAUGUAUUUUUUUUCUAACAUAAGCAAAAUUGGGUCCAACUCUGCUGCAUUUUCUACAGGCUGUGAUUCCCGCAGGAGAGCUGGCUAGGCAAGGAAGGGGACCUGGAGCUUAGCUGCCCCCCAGGGCUUUGGUCCAGAAGGGUCUAUAGAGGUGGAGUACUACAGUGAGCACUGAGGAGACAGCAGUAAGCUGUGGGGUGGCAUGUUCUGUAGUUUUACAAUCCAGCUACUUCCACAUGUUUAUGCAUAUUCAUCUGGUAUGCAAAUCAGGACUUUGCAUCAUUUGCAUAAACCUGCCGGAUUUCUGGACCUUCCACCUUGUCUGGCUACACUCUCCGGCGGGUAGAACCGGAUGGCAUACAUUCCUGGCUGCCCUGAGCUCCUAGCUGGGAGCCUGGGAACAGCUCGUCUGUGGGCAGGGAUUGCAUGUGCCUUCACCUCUACAGAAAAAUUGCAGCCUGUGAACUCCCGGUAGCAGUGACAGUAGAGCUAGGCAGGAAAUCCUUCAUGAAACAUUUUUUUCUUCCAGUAAUGUCCAUUUGUGGAAACGUCAAGUUUUCUCAGGAACGGCUCAGUUAUGACAAACUCCUCAGCUGUGGAAAAACACGUGUCUCGGUUCCAAAAAGGUCCCGUUUUGACAAUUCCUAAAUGGGUCUCCAAGUCCAAAGGACUUUCUGUUCAGAAAUUAAAGCCUGCUCCCAGGUGGUCCAUGGAGGAGCCUCACCAGGGCCAGUCAUGCACAUGUGGAUUUGGAACCCUCCCCCCUACGAGCUACAAAAUAAAACACGGCUGCUUCCUUGUGCUUCUCUGCGGGGCCUCACUUUGUCCGGCGAAUGGAGCAGGAUUUGCCAGCGCUACAACUAGCACACAGCUUGCAUCCCCGCCAGGAAGGCAGUCCCGUCAUUGGCCCAGCAUUGCCAGCUGCCGGACGCACUGUGUGUGGAUUUCACGGCAGCCCUCUCUCAGCACAGGGCAGCAUUUCAAACAGGGCGCUGCAUGGUGGCACUGGACUCCUGAUCAGCGUCUCGCGAGGUCGGUUUGAUGUGGCCACUGUGGGGGAUACAAGAGGAGCUUCAGCCUCAGACGGGAAAUGGCCUUGGGGUGUUUUCAUCAUCACAUGAGAGGAGAAUGGAAGAAACCAUCCCAGAGUCUGGAUCCACGGGUGUUUUUAAAGGGAUGCAAAGCAAUUGGGUUUUUUUUCUGAACAAUGACACCGAAAAGCAGCUGCGUGUGUGUGCGUGUGUGUGACUCUUUAUUUCAUCUCCUGUGAUACGAUUUACACAAUUUGCUUUACAAAUCUGUGU